AAGAAGAAUAGAACAGAAGGGUGGCGACGCUUUACUAACACAUGAGAAGGAGCGACUCACAGGACUAUCAAGAACAGAGAACAACCAAAAACGAGAAACUAUCGAAAGAAAUUUCAUAGGUAAUAUGAAACGGAAGCGCCAACUCCACCACCACCUCUAUAUAAACUAGGACUAUGGACGGUGGCGGGAAACAAAACAAAUAAAGAAAAAGAACAGAAGAAAGAAAGACAGGUCAGUCAGAAGUCAGGGGGGCGCGAGGACUCUACAUCCCCUCAAGAAAGGCAA
rnacentral:lncRNA from 1 species